UACAGAGGGUGCGAGCGUUAAUCGGAAUUACUGGGCGUAAAGGGCGCGUAGGCGGUGUAUUAAGUUAGAUGUGAAAUCCCUGGGCUUAACCUAGGAACUGCAUCUAAUACUGGUAUGCUAGAGUGCAGUAGAGGGUAGUGGAAUUUCCGGUGUAGCGGUGAAAUGCGUAGAGAUCGUAAGGAAGACCAGUGGCGAAGGCGGGUCUCUGGACAGUUCCUGACACUGAGGCACGAAGGCCAGGGGAGCAAACGGG
rnacentral:rRNA from 1 species